rnacentral:rRNA from 1 species
AUUGAACGCUGGCGGCAUGCCUUACACAUGCAAGUCGAACGGUAACAGGUCUUCGGAUGCUGACGAGUGGCGAACGGGUGAGUAAUACAUCGGAACGUGCCCGAGAGUGGGGGAUAACGAGGCGAAAGCUUUGCUAAUACCGCAUACGGUCUCAGGAUGAAAGCAGGGGACCGCAAGGCCUUGCGCUCACGGAGCGGCCGAUGGCAGAUUAGGUAGUUGGUGGGAUAAAAGCUUACCAAGCCGACGAUCUGUAGCUGGUCUGAGAGGACGACCAGGCACACUGGGACUGAGACACGGCCCAGACUCCUACGGGAGGCAGCAGUGGGGAAUUUUGGACAAUGGGCGCAAGCCUGAUCCAGCCAUGCCGCGUGCAGGAUGAAGGCCUUCGGGUUGUAAACUGCUUUUGUACGGAACGAAAAGACUCUGGUUAAUACCUGGGGUCCAUGACGGUACCGUAAGAAUAAGCACCGGCUAACUACGUGCCAGCCGCCGCCGUAAAAC